CCAGAUGGCCGGAUGGCCGCCUUCCGACAAUGGCGAAAGCCGUCGGGGGGAGGAAAGUCCGGGCUCCACGGAAGAACGGUGCCAGGUAACGCCUGGCGGGGGCGACCCUAGGGAAAGUGCCACAGAAAGCAAACCGCCUGCCGCCCGCCCUUUCGGGGGACCGGGGGGCCGGCAAGGGUGAAAGGGUGCGGUAAGAGCGCACCGCGCCCCUGGCAACAGGGGCGGCACGGUAAACCCCACCGGGAGCAAGACCGAAUAGGGGCGGCACGGCCGGGCAACCGGCCAAAGCAUCUUCCGAGCCGCCGCCCGGGUAGGUCGCGCGAGGCGCCUGGCGACAGGCGUCCCAGAUGAAUGGCCAUCCCACGGCCGCCGCCCCUUUCACAGGGGGACGGGCCGGAGGACAGAACCCGGCUUACAGGCCAUCUGGCAGA
rnacentral:RNase_P_RNA from 1 species